UACAGAGGGGGCUAGCGUUAUUCGGAAUUAUUGGGCGUAAAGGGCGCGUAGGCGGCCAUGCGUGUCUUCCGUGAAAUCCCUCGGCUUAACUGAGGACGUGCGGAAGAAACUGCAAGGCUCGAGUCCGGGAGAGGGGGGUGGAAUUCCCAGUGUAGCGGUGAAAUGCGUAGAUAUUGGGAGGAACACCGGUGGCGAAGGCGGUUCUCUGGGCCUUACCUGACGCUGAGGAGCGAAAGCGUGGGGAGCGAACAGG
rnacentral:rRNA from 1 species